AAUUAUCUGAAUCACAAACCUACUGUCAUUAAGUUACAAUCCAAAAAUUAAAUUGGUUGUGCAAAACUAAUUUCUGAUUUUUGGACACUUGUUUAGUGAAACAGGCCCAUUGGAUAUUUCCAUUUUUAACUAUCCAAUAGAUGUGGAUGAGUAAGUUUUAAUUUCAUAAUACAUCUAAGUUGGAACCCGCAAAUUAGAAAGUUUAAUUUGAAUUACUUUAAUGCCACAUGCAAUUUCUACAGCUAAUGGUAUCAUCCAUCAUAGCCAGCCAGAGUAUCAAAGAUUUUCUCAAACGUUAUUGGCACCCUAACUUCUUUGGACAUGCUUUUGCAAAGAAAGGAAUGCAAAAGCAUAAAAACAGUAGAGUAAAAGGGUGAAACGCAUGAAAAGAAGUGGGGCUACCAAUAUCUUGCUCAAGUGACACUUGGGUACAAGGUAGUGUGCCAGAUCAGAACCAUUCACCGGGUGAUCCCAACAAUGACACAUCAUUGAACCCUCUCAUACAUCCAUUCGUGAACAACUGGCCCUUGUACAUUCGCCGUGGUUGGAGCUUGUUUAUAAACUCUGAAUUUGCAUCCAUAGUAGUUGGUAGGAAUCUUAUCAUUUGACUGUAGUUCAACAUUGAGAUCUAUCCAUGCUUUUGAUUGUGAUAUGAUUAGAAAGUUGGAGUCCCUACAUUUUUCUAGCAUUGAACAUGUUGCUUGUGGUCAAAGAAUUUCUACUGAAGAAGAUCGGCUAUGGAGCUCUGUAAGGGCUAUAUCUGGACUUCAAUUUCUGGACUGCUAUCAAUGAGCGACAGAGAAUGAUUAAAGAUCUGGGGAAUCCAACCGUCUAUAUUGAUUAAAGAUCAGCCAUGAGUUUGCUUUCACCCCUUUUUUUGGGGGUUUUAUGUAGAAACGUCACCUGCAGCUGUGCAACAUUAAUUUCUGUUUGGUCUAUUUCAAAAUGUUGUUCCCUAUCAUUCAAGUAGCUGACCUUCUUCUUCUUAUUUCUGUAGACAUGUCACCUCCAUUGUUACAAGAUGGUGGACAGAAGUUCCAUCUGGUUAGAAGCAAAGUUAGAUUUUUUUUCUUUGCCUAAAAAAUUAGGCCAUUUUACUCCUCGGUGAUACAGGACAACUAACCACAUGGGCUUGUUCUGAUGGUUUACCAAGAGUGGGAUCUUUCGUGCAUCCGCUUCUUCUCAGUCAUGGGUGAGGGUCUGUUAAGUUUAAACAUGGUUGCUGGCUUGCAAUAUGCAAGGGUCAUUUGGUCAUGUGGUUUACUUAGUUGAGCAUUCUUUUUACGCUUAUAUGAAAAUGGUUCCUAUUUUUUUUUUUUUUUCAACCAGUUCCUUCGUCAAUAUUCUCUAAUAGUAUGGAUAGGCAAUGAUAAUGGCUCUUUUGAUUCUUUUGAACAGGUUGGUUUCAAAAUGUUCUUAGGGGUCACUGCUUCUGUAAUGAAUUGGGAUGCUGAUGGGACAAGUUGCAGUCUUGUUUUGGAAGACAAACCUCUGGUAGACUUUGUUGAGCUUCCUGAUACAUGCCAAGGUCUAUGUUAUUGCAACAUCUUGAGUGGAGUUAUCAGGGGGGCACUAGAAAUGUCACUUGUAUGGAGAAUUCGUCUUUGACUAUUCUUGGGCUGAUGCCUACUACAGCUAUGGCGCUCAAUAUUAUCCAAAGUCGCAAUGUUGUGUUCCUUUUACUCCAGUAACAGGUUCCUGGAAAUUAUCCAUGGCGGCAUGCAAGGACCAAUGGCCUGGACUGCUGAACCAUGGUGCCACUUGUCCGAAUUGAAAACUUGCGUAUAGUGCUUAAAUUAUCAUCCAAUCACUGUCUUACUCGGCUUCCUCUUCAAUGAAGGUUCUGACAUGAGUCUUGGACUUUGUUUACCUGAAUACAACAAAACAGAAAAUACUUUCAUUUCGAACUAUAAAUUUUAUCAGGAUUAAAGACAAAAAGGAAGAGGCUUCGCUGAUCUUCCGUUCUGAAGAAAAUCAGUGAACCAGAAACAUCAGGGCAGAUGUUCAGAGAAGAUAUGAACUCUGCUGGGAGCUUUUAUGAAUCCAUUGUUAACACUGAGCUCGCUCUGGUGGAUGAUGCAUUCAAAACAUUGCCUAUUCCAGUUCUAUGUGAUAGAUAAAGAGAUAAUGUCUCUUUCUGUGAUUGAUGAGCUUGUUCUUCUUUGUCAAAUUUCACUAUUUAUGUUUUAUGGAUUAUUAUGGCAGGAAGAUUUAAUUUUCCAUUUUAUUUUUCUUUGAAUGGUUGGAUCUUAGAACUGUACAAUGAAUCUAUAUAUUUCCAUUAACCUUUGAAAGAAGUCUAUCUAAUGGGCUUUGGCACAUUUUUCUUUUGCAGACUUAUCCAAAUCCUUUGCAAGAUAAUGCAGCAUAUUCAGUUGUUAAGAAAAAGCGGAAAAUGAACCUAAACUAUGUCAAAGCCUUGGUUUCAGGUAGCUUGGUGCCUUUAGUUGUUGUUGACGAUGCGCCAGAAUAUAUAAAAUUGGGACAAAAGCAAGAGGUGGGGAAUGGUGCAAUGCCUGCUUCGAUUAGCUCACAUAACCGAUUUAUUUCCCAUGAAGAGGCACAGCCAAUCCUCCCAGUCUUAUUCUGCGAAGAAAAAUAACAUGGCUAUUCACAGUAGUUAGAACCACUUAUUUGUUAUGAUGCUGCAUACCAUUUUGUCAAUCUCUAAUUGUGAUAACAACAGAGUUUAGAUCUCAUCGUAAUCGCUCUUAUAUGCCAUCGUGGUACAUGCAAUCUCUUCACACAUGCGCAUAAGCAAUUGCAUUCGACAACGUUGCUCUAUACUUUAUCUCUUGUGAAAUGGGGGUCCAACUGUAACCAGCAAAUACCUGCAAUGACGCUUUCAGCUUCCA